GCUAGGGGUGUAGCUCAGUGGUAAAGCAUGAGCUCAGCAUGCGCAAAGCCCUGGGUUCAAUUGCCAGCACCAAGCA
rnacentral:tRNA from 1 species